UGGAACCACGACUCACACACAAAAGGGUAAGGGGCAAGGGAUUCACAUAAGUACAGUAAUGGCAGAAACAUACUGAAAGAAAGCAUAGCAGACUAGGAUAUAAACACAUAGUGAAGGAGCAUUAUUUAACUAGGAAGAACAUACCGGUUGCAAAGUAAGAAUAAGCAGAAUAACAGAGCAAUUGCAAUAAGUAAAACAGCAGGAGCAAAAUCAAAUUUCAGUAGAACACUGGAAAGCUCAAAGAGAACUCAAAGUUGUUUCAGAAAGAAAGGAGUAGAAGUAUAGAGAAGAAGAGAGUAGAAAGCAGAAUGCUUAAUACUAUGAGAGGGAAUGCAAUUUUAUUAUGAAAACUUCGGUGUUAAAGCGUGUCAGGCUUGUUUUUCAGGUGCAAAAAUGGUAGCCCGCUUUUAUAGUGCAGAGAACAAGUAGAAUUAAUGAUUUCCCUUCAGUCAAGGGAUUUGAUUCGAACAAUUAGGAUAAUUAAGGAAAGGGUUUGAUUCGAAAAUCUUUUCCAAAGCAGUACAAUACAGGUAGAUACAUAGAAAUGUUUAUAAGGCAGGAGUCUAGUAGUACAUGGUUUUCACAAAUAAGGAGAGGAAAUCAAUCGGCAGGCAGUAAAAAAAUCACGAUUUGAGUCUUGGUACGAUAAAUCCUACCAGAAAAAGGUGAAAAGAGGUUUAAUUUAAAGAAAAUCAGUAGAACUCAAUCCAACUUUAGAAAAAAGAGUUCGAAAUCAAUCACAAGUUAGCAAAAUGCCUUUUGAAAGAAAGGUUCAUAUAUAAAGCACACAACCAACACAAACAAGAGAGAAUCGUAUAAAAAAUCCAGAGUCAUAGCAAAGAAGGUUCAGUUCAUAGACUUAGAAUGAGUCUGAAAGAGUCAAGGGUUCUGAAUAGAAACCUAAUCCAAAUAUAAGAUCAAGCCUGCCAGAAACACCCCUCCCCCCUCCCCAAAUAUUAGGGUUUCUGACUCAAAUCAGAUGCAUAGAUGAGAAGACAACAACUAGAGCAGGCUCAGUAGUCUCUUUCAGAGACUUAUGAGAAAACAAACAAAGAGAACAUCAGGUUCAAGGAAAAUAGAGUGUGGUAACUAAUUUGAAACACAUGGAACACAUUUAAGCACAGCUUGUCACUCAAAUAAGUUCAGAAGAGAAGAGACGACAUAAGCUUAGGAAAAUAGUAAUGAAGCUCGCUUAAAGUUUAUUACGAAAGUCCAGUAAAGGCAAACAAGGAUUAAAAAC
rnacentral:lncRNA from 1 species